GGGGAAUCUUCCGCAAUGGGCGCAAGCCUGACGGAGCGACGCUGCGUGCGGGAUGAAGGCCUUCGGGUUGUAAACCGCUGUCAGUGAGGAGCAAAUCGGUAGGGGCUAUCCUCUAUCGUUGAGCGAUUCACAGAGGAAGCGCAGGCUAAGUUCGUGCCAGCAGCCGCGGUAACACGAACUGCGCGAACGUUAUUCGGAAUCACUGGGCUUAAAGAGUCCGUAGGCGGCUCGGUAGGUGGGGUGUGAAAGCCCACGGCUCAACCGUGGAAUUGCGCUCCAAACCACCGAGCUUGAGGGAGAUAGAGGAGAGCGGAACUGAUGGUGGAGCGGUGAAAUGCGUUGAUAUCAUCAGGAACACCGGUGGCGAAAGCGGCUCUCUGGGUCUCUUCUGACGCUGAGGGACGAAAGCUAGGGGAGCGA
rnacentral:rRNA from 1 species